NNNNNNCCUGCAUGGCNGAAUGACUUGUGAACAUGUAACCNNAGUUGGGUGUCCUCGGCAUCCGGCACUCUUCCAAUUCUUUGGAAGCUACGUUAAUGUGCGUCUUUGGUAUUUUGCCAUUGAUGUUACGUUGGCGAAACCAACCCCGGCACAACAUGUGUCAAGGAAAAAUAAAACUUUAAAGGGCUUGUGUUCGUACGCUGUUUACGGUGAUUGCAAAUAUCUUGCUUCUUUAGAAUUA
rnacentral:misc_RNA from 1 species